UGGAAAGGUAGAGAAAAAUACAUUGCUCGAUUAUAUAAAAGCUUUUCCUGGUGGAAAGUGUUGCAUUUCUAAAAUGCAAAGCAUCCUGGAAAACUUGGGUUACGAGCUGGAGGAUGAGGAAGUUAAGGACCUGAAAAAUCGCCUGCCACCUGACGAUACAAAGGUUAAGCUGAAUGUACUCAUGGAAAAUGUAAAGCCAUUCACAGG